rnacentral:rRNA from 1 species
UACAGAGGGUGCAAGCGUUAAUCGGAAUUACUGGGCGUAAAGCGUGCGUAGUCCGGUUAUUUAAGUCGGGCGUGAAAGCCCCGGGCUCAACCUGGGAAUUGCGUUCGAUACUGGAUAGCUAGAGUUCGGCAGAGGGAAGCGGAAUUUCGGGUGUAGCGGUGAAAUGCGUAGAUAUCCGAAGGAACAUCAGUGGCGAAAGCGGCUUCCUGGACCAGAACUGACGAUCAGGCACGAAAGCGUGGGGAGCAAACAGG